CCUACGGGAGGCAGCAGUGGGGAAUAUUGGGCAAUGGAGGAAACUCUGACCCAGCGACGCCGCGUGCGGGAUGAAGGCCUUCGGGUUGUAAACCGCUUUCAGUAGGGAAGAAGCGAAAGUGACGGUACCUACAAAAGAAGCACCGGCUAACUAUGUGCCAGCAGCCGCGGUAAUACAUAGGGUGCAAGCGUUGUCCGGAAUUAUUGGGCGUAAAGAGCUCGUAGGUCGUUUGUUACGUCGGAUGUGAAAACCUGAGGCUCAACCUCAGGCCUGCAUUCGAUACGGGCAAACUAGAGUUUGGUAGGGGAGACUGGAAUUCCUGGUGUAGCGGUGGAAUGCGCAGAUAUCAGGAGGAACACCAAUGGCGAAGGCAGGUCUCUGGGCCAAUACUGACACUGAGGAGCGAAAGUCUGGGGAGCGAACAGGAUUAGAUACCCUGGUAGUCCAGACCGUAAACGGUGGGCACUAGUUGUGGGAACCUUCCACGGUUUCUGCGACGCAGCUAACGCAUUAAGUGCCCCGCCUGGGGAGUACGAUCGCAAGAUUAAAACUCAAAGGAAUUGA
rnacentral:rRNA from 1 species